rnacentral:rRNA from 1 species
AGAGUUUGAUCCUGGCUCAGAACGAACGCUGGCGGCGUGGAUAAGACAUGCAAGUCGCACGGAGAAAAGAUAGUUUACUAGCUUUUCUGAGUGGCGCACGGGUGAGUAACACGUGAGCAACCUGCCUCUUAGUGGGGGAUAGCCCUGGGAAACCGGGAUUAAUACCGCAUAUCAUCGCAAGAUGAAAGCAGCAAUGCGCUAAGAGAGGGGCUCGCGGCCUAUUAGUUAGUUGGUGAGGUAACGGCUCACCAAGGCGAUGACGGGUAGCCGGUCUGAGAGGAUGUCCGGCCACACUGGAACUGAGACGCGGUCCAGACACCUACGGGUGGCAGCAGUCGAGAAUCAUUCACAAUGGGGGAAACCCUGAUGGUGCGACGCCGCGUGGGGGAAGAAGGUCUUCGGAUUGUAAACCCCUGUCAUGUGGGAGCAAGCUAGCAAUAGUUGAUAGUACCACAAGAGGAAGAGACGGCUAACUCUGUGCCAGCAGCCGCGGUAAUACAGAGGUCUCAAGCGUUGUUCGGAAUCACUGGGCGUAAAGGGUACGUAGGCUGUACCAUAAGUCGGGCGUGAAAGGCA